UGCAGUCGAACGGUGAAGGCGGGAGCUUGCUCCUGCCGGAUCAGUGGCGAACGGGUGAGUAACACGUGAGUAACCUGCCCUUGACUCUGGGAUAAGCGUUGGAAACGACGUCUAAUACCGGAUACGAGCUUCAGCCGCAUGGCUAGGAGCUGGAAAGAACUUCGGUCAAGGAUGGACUCGCGGCCUAUCAGCUAGUUGGUGAGGUAAUGGCUCACCAAGGCGACGACGGGUAGCCGGCCUGAGAGGGUGACCGGCCACACUGGGACUGAGACACGGCCCAGACUCCUACGGGAGGCAGCAGUGGGGAAUAUUGCACAAUGGGCGCAAGCCUGAUGCAGCAACGCCGCGUGAGGGACGACGGCCUUCGGGUUGUAAACCUCUUUUAGCAGGGAAGAAGCGAAAGUGACGGUACCUGCAGAAAAAGCACCGGCUAACUACGUGCCAGCAGCCGCGGUAAUACGUAGGGUGCAAGCGUUGUCCGGAAUUAUUGGGCGUAAAGAGCUCGUAGGCGGUUUGUCGCGUCUGCUGUGAAAACGCGAGGCUCAACCUCGCGCCUGCAGUGGGUACGGGCAGACUAGAGUGCGGUAGGGGAGAUUGGAAUUCCUGGUGUAGCGGUGGAAUGCGCAGAUAUCAGGAGGAACACCAAUGGCGAAG
rnacentral:rRNA from 1 species